CGUCUCCCCCCUCGGUCUUUUUUGAACUUUCUCUCGCUCGCUCCCUCCAAAGCUGGCCGUGCUCUCGCCUGCUUCCUUCGGGCGGUGGAUCGGUUAAAAGAUCAAAAUCCAAGAAAUCCCGCAUCCGAAACCCUAGAAUUCGGUGCUCUCGGAUCUUUUUGGCGAGAAUGGCGGAAUUCUGGCUGGAUUUCCUCUUCCCCUCAUGGUGGGAGGUCGAGAUCACCGUCGCCGCAGCGCUCUUUGUGGUCGCUGUCGGGGGUUUGAUAUCCGGAGCUGGUGGAGGCCAAGGCGACCGGCGUCGCGGUGGCGAUGGUCCGGCGGUGGCCAAGGAGCCUCUUGUUCUUGAAACAGAGGACAGGAACAAGUCAUCCACUUAUUUUGUAAAUGAUCCAGUUAAAAAAGAUGACCCUCAAGACACCUCUGUUUAUGUAAUUGAGUUGGAACUACUAGCUGCCAAAAAUCUAGUUGGUGCAAACUUGAAUGGCACAUCAGAUCCCUAUGCUGUAAUUGCUUGCCGUGCACAAAAACAAUUUAGCUCCAUGGUUCCUUGUUCAAGAAACCCUUUGUGGGGAGAAACAUUUCAUUUCUUUGUUGAUGACCUCCCUGCCCAGAUUUCUGUAACAAUUUAUGACUGGGAUAUAAUAUGGAAAAGCAAAAUUCUUGGAUCCGUGGUAGUUCGAGUUGAAGGAGAAAGCCAAAGUGGAGCCCUCUGGUAUACUUUGGAUAACACACCAGGACAGGUCUGUCUUCAUAUUAGUUCCUACAUACUACCUGCAGUUUCAUCUAGGACACUCAAUGCUUUUACUGGAGCCUCUGCUCGGAAAAGUAUUUUGCCAGACAACCAAGGGCUGUUGCUGGUUAAUAAAAAACCUGGGCCUCUGCAGACCUUAUUUAACCUUCCUCUAGAUGAGGUUGUUUUUCACAGUUAUUCAUGUGCUCUUGAAAGAUCUUUUUUGUACCAUGGGCGCAUGUAUGUUUCUGCGUGGCACAUUUGCUUCCAUUCUAAUGUUUUUUCUAAGCAACUUAAGGUUAUUGUUCCUUUUGGAGAUAUACAUGAGUUCAAAAGGAGCCGACAUGCUUUUAUCAACCCUGCGAUUACGAUAAUUCUUCAAAUGGGAUCUGGUGGUCAUGGUGUGCCUCCUUUAGGAAGCCCAGAUGGGAGAGUUAGAUAUAAAUUUGCAUCAUUCUGGAAAAGAAAUCAUUCACUGAGAGUUUUACAACGUGCUUUCAAGAGAUACCGAGCCAUGUUAGAAGCUGAGAAGCAGGAGAGGGCACAGUUGGCAUUGUAUGUAGAUAGUAGCUCCAUCAAGGGUUGUAAAGAGCAGACAAAAAUUACUGAAGAAACUAUUGUCAGCACUAGAACGUACCAGGCUUUCAUCAAUGAACGAGUUCUAGUUGGUGUGGUCAAUGAGAUUUUCCCAUGUACAGCUGAGGAGUUCUUUACCAUGCUACUGAGCAAUGAUUCAAAGUUUAUUGAGGAGUACAGAUCAGCAAGAAAUGAUAGUAAUCUCAAUUUGAGCCAGUGGCACGUUGCUGAUGAAUAUGAUGGUCAAGUCCGUGAAGUGACCUUCAGAUCAUUAUGUCGCAGUCCCUUGUGUCCUCCAGACACUGCUGUGAUGGAGCGACAACAUGCUAUUCUUUCAAGUGACAAGAGAACCUUGGUCUACGAGACAGUGCAACAGGCACAUGAUGUUCCAUUUGGUUCCUAUUUUGAGAUUCACUCCAAGUGGUCGCUGAAAACAAAUUCUGAGACUGCCUGUUUGUUGGAUGUAAGAAUUGGUGUAAAUUUCAAGAAAUGGUGCAUUAUACAGUCUAAGAUAAAGUCUGGAGCCACUGAAGAGUACAGGAGAGAAGUGGGGCAGAUGUUGGAAGCAGCUCGUGCAUAUAUUCUGAAGUACAAGGAUUGUGUCAUUGAGAUGCAUGAGGCAUCAGAUUCUCCUCCCUCGAUUCAGGUACGUCAGGAGGCAUCUGAACUGCGCCAGAGAUUUUUUGCUCCCUAGGAAUGUACUCACAGAUUACCUAUAUGAGAGGAUCGAUAUUGCUUUCAGGAAGAGUUUGGAUCCUUUCCAAUAUGGACCUGAGCUGGCGUCAUCCAUGAUUUGCACAAUAGCCUUGAUUGUAUAGGCCUUUCACUUACAGUAUACACAGACAGGAAAAAGGAGCAUGGAAUCAUUCAAGAUACCAAAAUUUUAAUAUCCACAGACAGGAAAAGUGAUGGAGUCGUUCAGGACACCAAAAUUUUAAUCUCAUGGAUAUUGAGAAUCUACUGUAUGCGUCCAAUGCUUCAACCCAUGAAUAAUUUUUAACGGUUAGUCAGAUUUUGUUGAAGCAAUGGUGGAGCAGGUUGGUAGAUCGUGCUGAUAACAAGGUGAGUGAAAGUGUUCGAAAUCAGAUGAGGUAGUUCUUAAAGCUCCAAACUAAAGGAUCAUUUCUCUGAUCAUUUGGGUCAAGAGCAAUUUGUAAGCAUUUUUUUCUCCGCCAGGUGCCUCAUAGAAGCGGAAGAGCAGACUGAAUCAGAUUGUUCAUGGGAUAGGAGCAGCUGAUUCUUCCAGUGUAAGCAGUGAAUUAGCAUUCAGUAUUCUCCUAUGGAGUUACACAUAUUAGUGAAGCUAGUCUUAAAUCUUGUGGUAUUUUGUUUGCGUUUGUGCUUUUACUCAAUUUUAGUUAUGGACAAUGCUCUGUAUGGGCAUUCUCUCUCUCUCUCUCGCCCGCUCGCUCUCUAAUCACACGGCAUCUCCAGAAACUUGUUAGUUUUCUUUCUUUUUGCCUAACCAUCCCCGGUCGUAAUGGGAUUUUCAGAGCUGAAAAUUGCUGAAAUUAGAGUUGAU